UACAGAGGUCCCAAGCGUUGUUCGGAUUCACUGGGCGUAAAGGGUGCGUAGGUGGUUGGGUAAGUCUGAUGUGAAAUCUCCGGGCUCAACCCGGAAAUGGCAUUGGAUACUAUUCGGCUAGAGGUUUGGAGGGGGACUGGAAUUCUCGGUGUAGCAGUGAAAUGCGUAGAUAUCGAGAGGAACACCAGUGGCGAAGGCGAGUCCCUGGACAACACCUGACACUGAGGCACGAAAGCUAGGGGAGCAAACAGG
rnacentral:rRNA from 1 species